rnacentral:rRNA from 1 species
UGCCAGUAGUCAUAUGCUUGUCUCAAAGAUUAAGCCAUGCAUGUCUAAGUAUAAGCAAUCAUACUGUGAAACUGCGAAUGGCUCAUUAAAUCAGUUAUCGUUUAUUAGAUAGUACCUUUACCUGGAUAACCGUGGUAAUUCUAGAGCUAAUACAUGCUAAAAACCCCGACUUCGGAAGGGGUGUAUUUAUUAGAUAAAAAACCAAUGCCCUCUGGGCUCUUUGGUGAUUCAUAAUAACUUAACGAAUCGCAUGGCCUUGCGCCGGCGAUGGUUCAUUCAAAUUUCUGCCCUAUCAACUUUCGAUUGUAAGAUAGAGGCUUACAAUGGUAUUAACGGGUAACGGGGAAUUAGGGUUCUAUUCCGGAGAGGGAGCCUGAGAAACGGCUACCACAUCCAAGGAAGGCAGCAGGCGCGCAAAUUACCCAAUGCUAAUUCAGCGAGGUAGUGACAAUAAAUACUGAUACGGGGCUCUUUCGGGUCUCGUAAUUGGAAUGAGUACAAUCUAAAUCCCUUAACGAGGAACAAUUGGAGGGCAAGUCUGGUGCCAGCAGCCGCGGUAAUUCCAGCUCCAAUAGCGUAUAUUAAAGUUGUUGCCGUUAAAAAGCUCGUAGUUGAACCUUGGACCUGGCUGAUCUGUCCUCCUAAUCGAGCGCACGGAUUCGGUCGGGUCUUUCCUUCUGGGGAGCCCUAUGCCCUUCACUGGGUGUAGUGGGGAACCAGGACUUUUACCUUGAAAAAAUUAGAGUGUUCAAAGCAGGCCUUUGCUCGAAUACAUUAGCAUGGAAUAAUAGAAUAGGACAUCGGUUCUAUUUUGUUGGUUUCUAGGACCGCUGUAAUGAUUAAUAGGGAUAGUCGGGGGCGUCAGUAUUCAAUUGUCAGAGGUGAAAUUCUUGGAUUUAUUGAAGACUAACUACUGCGAAAGCAUUCGCCAAGGAUGUUUUCAUUAAUCAGUGAACGAAAGUUAGGGGAUCGAAGACGAUCAGAUACCGUCGUAGUCUUAACCAUAAACUAUGCCGACUAGGGAUCGGACGGUGGUUUUUUUAUGCCCCGUUCGGCACCUUACGAGAAAUCAAAGUUUUUGGGCUCGGGGGGGAGCAUGGUCGCAAGGCUGAAACUUAAAGAAAUUGACGGAAGGGCACCACCAGGCGUGGAGCCUGCGGCUUAAUUUGACCCAACACGGGGAAACUCACCAGGUCCAGACAUGCUUAGGAUUGACAGAUUGAUAGCUCUUUCUUGAUUGUAUGGGUGGUGGUGCAUGGCCGUUCUUAGUUGGUGGAGUGAUUUGUCUGCUUAAUUGCGAUAACGAACGAGACCUUGACCUGCUAAAUAGCCAGGUUGACUUUUGUCGGCCGCCGGCUUCUUAGAGGGAUUUUUGGCUCAAGCCAAUGGAGGUACGAGGC